ACGAACGCUGGCGGCGUGCCUAACACAUGCAAGUCGAACGGAGAGUAUAUGAUCAAGACUUCGGUCAAGAGAGUANAUUUCUUAGUGGCGGACGGGUGAGUAACGCGUGAGCAAUCUGCCUUUCAGAGGGGGAUAACGUUCUGAAAAGAACGCUAAUACCGCAUAACGUACCGGGAUGGCAUCAUUCUGGUACCAAAGGAGCAAUCCGCUGAAAGAUGAGCUCGCGUCUGAUUAGAUAGUUGGUGGGGUAACGGCCUACCAAGUCGACGAUCAGUAGCCGAGCUGAGAGGCACAACGGCCACAUUGGGACUGAGACACGGCCCAGACUCCUACGGGAGGCAGCAGUCGGGAAUAUUGCACAAUGGAGGAAACUCUGAUGCAGUGACGCCGCGUAUAGGAAGAAGGUCUUUGGAUUGUAAACUAUUGUCGACAGGGAAGAAGAAAAUGACAGUACCUGUGGAGGAAGCUCCGGCUAACUACGUG
rnacentral:rRNA from 1 species